rnacentral:rRNA from 1 species
GAUGAACGCUAGCGGCAAGCUUAAUACAUGCAAGUCGAGGGGCAGCAUGACUGUAGCAAUACAGUUGAUGGCGACCGGCAAACGGGUGCGGAACACGUACAGAACCUUCCUUCGAGCGGGGAAUAGCCCAGAGAAAUUUGGAUUAAUACCCCAUAGUAUAUUGGAGUGGCAUCACUUUGAUAUUAAAGAUUUAUCACUUGAAGAUGGCUGUGCGGCUGAUUAGAUAGUUGGCGGGGUAACGGCCCACCAAGUCUGCGAUCAGUAACUGGUGUGAGAGCACGACCAGUCACACGGGCACUGAGACACGGGCCCGACUCCUACGGGAGACAGCAGUAAGGAAUAUUGGUCAAUGGACGAAAGUCUGAACCAGCUAUGCCGCGUGGAGGAUGAAGGCCCUCUGGGUUGUAAACUUCUUUUAUAUGGGACGAAAAAGGGACCUUUCUAGGUCAACUGACGGUACCAUGUGAAUAAGCACCGGCUAACUCCGUG